rnacentral:tRNA from 1 species
GGGGAUUUAGCUCAGUGGUACAGCGCCUGUCUUGCAAGCACAAGGACUGGAGUUCAAUCCCCG